CAUAAAGCUCACAUAAAGCUGCAAUACUGCAGUGCUUGCCAAGUGUAUUUAGUGCUGAUUGCAUUUGGCACUGUACAUAUCCUGGAUAUCCAUCCUGUCAUUGGGUAGAGCAAAUACUGAUUAGAUUUUUUUCAGAGGAAUGAUGUGGUAUGCUAGUUUUACCAUUGCAUGUGCAAACUAACUUCAUAUCAGUUUUACUCAGGUCCAAACGGAGUAGAAAAACUGUACUACAAACAUUUUCCAGGGUAGACAACAUGUUGGUGCCUGAAGCCACUCUGCGGGGCACGACAAAGA